GAUGAACGCUGGCGGCGUGCCUAAUACAUGCAAGUCGAGCGAACGGACGAGAAGCUUGCUUCUCUGAUGUUAGCGGCGGACGGGUGAGUAACACGUGGAUAACCUACCUAUAAGACUGGGAUAACUUCGGGAAACCGGAGCUAAUACCGGAUAAUAUUUUGAACCGCAUGGUUCAAAAGUGAAAGACGGUCUUGCUGUCACUUAUAGAUGGAUCCGCGCUGCAUUAGCUAGUUGGUAAGGUAACGGCUUACCAAGGCAACGAUGCAUAGCCGACCUGAGAGGGUGAUCGGCCACACUGGAACUGAGACACGGUCCAGACUCCUACGGGAGGCAGCAGUAGGGAAUCUUCCGCAAUGGGCGAAAGCCUGACGGAGCGACGCCGCGUGAGUGAUGAAGGUCUUCGGAUCGUAAAACUCUGUUAUUAGGGAAGAACAUAUGUGUAAGUAGCUGUGCACAUCUUGACGGUACCUAAUCAAAAAGCCACGGCUAACUACGUG
rnacentral:rRNA from 1 species